ACCACGUCCAACUUCCAAGUACCCAGUUCUAGACAACAAGGCAAUACUAAUCAAUGAACAACUUGACGGAGGCUAACUAGUAGGGUUAUAUAUGUUUAUCAAUAGGGGAAAUUAUAUAUAAAUACAACUCACACACUUAUGGUGCAACUAACUUAUGGAGCAACUAAGUGGCCUAUAUUUAACAUUGUAAAAUUAUAGCCCCAGAAAUAAUAGGUCGGGAUUGAACCUUUAACUCC
rnacentral:lncRNA from 1 species